GAUGAACGCUGACAGGAUGCUUAACACAUGCAAGUCACAUGUGGCGGACGGGUGAGUAACGCGUACAGAACUUGCCUCACAGCGAGGGAAAACAGUUGGAAACGAAUGCUAAUACCUGAUACUGUGAGAGAGCUUUGCGUGCCAUUAGCUAGUUGGAGAGGUAACGGCUCACCAAGGCGAUGAUGGGUAGCCGACCUGAGAUGGUGAUCGGCCAAAGGGGGACUGAGACAUCGCCCUUACUCCCACGUGAGGCUGCAGUGGAGAGUAUUGGACAAUGGACCAAAGUCUGAACCAGCAAUUCUGUGUGCACGAUGAAGUUUUCUGAAUGUAAAGUGCUUUCAGUUCGGAAGCGGUACCAACAGAAGAAGUGACGGCUAAAUACGUGCCAGCAGCCGCGGUAAUUC
rnacentral:rRNA from 1 species